GGUUAAGCGACUAAGCGUACACGGUGGAUGCCCUGGCAGUCAGAGGCGAUGAAGGACGUGCUAAUCUGCGAUAAGCGUCGGUAAGGUGAUAUGAACCGUUAUAACCGGCGAUUUCCGAAUGGGGAAACCCAGUGUGUUUCGACACACUAUCAUUAACUGAAUCCAUAGGUUAAUGAGGCGAACCGGGGGAACUGAAACAUCUAAGUACCCCGAGGAAAAGAAAUCAACCGAGAUUCCCCCAGUAGCGGCGAGCGAACGGGGAGCAGCCCAGAGCCUGAAUCAGUAUGUGUGUUAGUGGAAGCGUCUGGAAAGGCGCGCGAUACAGGGUGACAGCCCCGUACACAAAAAUGCACAUAUUGUGAGCUCGAUGAGUAGGGCGGGACACGUGGUAUCCUGUCUGAAUAUGGGGGGGACCAUCCUCCAAGGCUAAAUACUCCUGACUGACCGAUAGUGAACCAGUACCGUGAGGGAAAGGCGAAAAGAACCCCGGCGAGGGGAGUGAAAAAGAACCUGAAACCGUGUACGUACAAGCAGUGGGAGCACGCUUAGGCGUGUGACUGCGUACCUUUUGUAUAAUGGGUCAGCGACUUAUAUUCUGUAGCAAGGUUAACCGAAUAGGGGAGCCGAAGGGAAACCGAGUCUUAACUGGGCGUUAAGUUGCAGGGUAUAGACCCGAAACCCGGUGAUCUAGCCAUGGGCAGGUUGAAGGUUGGGUAACACUAACUGGAGGACCGAACCGACUAAUGUUGAAAAAUUAGCGGAUGACUUGUGGCUGGGGGUGAAAGGCCAAUCAAACCGGGAGAUAGCUGGUUCUCCCCGAAAGCUAUUUAGGUAGCGCCUCGUGAAUUCAUCUCCGGGGGUAGAGCACUGUUUCGGCAAGGGGGUCAUCCCGACUUACCAACCCGAUGCAAACUGCGAAUACCGGAGAAUGUUAUCACGGGAGACACACGGCGGGUGCUAACGUCCGUCGUGAAGAGGGAAACAACCCAGACCGCCAGCUAAGGUCCCAAAGUCAUGGUUAAGUGGGAAACGAUGUGGGAAGGCCCAGACAGCCAGGAUGUUGGCUUAGAAGCAGCCAUCAUUUAAAGAAAGCGUAAUAGCUCACUGGUCGAGUCGGCCUGCGCGGAAGAUGUAACGGGGCUAAACCAUGCACCGAAGCUGCGGCAGCGACGCUGAUGCGUUGUUGGGUAGGGGAGCGUUCUGUAAGCCUGUGAAGGUGUGCUGUGAGGCAUGCUGGAGGUAUCAGAAGUGCGAAUGCUGACAUAAGUAACGAUAAAGCGGGUGAAAAGCCCGCUCGCCGGAAGACCAAGGGUUCCUGUCCAACGUUAAUCGGGGCAGGGUGAGUCGACCCCUAAGGCGAGGCCGAAAGGCGUAGUCGAUGGGAAACAGGUUAAUAUUCCUGUACUUGGUGUUACUGCGAAGGGGGGACGGAGAAGGCUAUGUUGGCCGGGCGACGGUUGUCCCGGUUUAAGCGUGUAGGCUGGUUUUCCAGGCAAAUCCGGAAAAUCAAGGCUGAGGCGUGAUGACGAGGCACUACGGUGCUGAAGCAACAAAUGCCCUGCUUCCAGGAAAAGCCUCUAAGCAUCAGGUAACAUCAAAUCGUACCCCAAACCGACACAGGUGGUCAGGUAGAGAAUACCAAGGCGCUUGAGAGAACUCGGGUGAAGGAACUAGGCAAAAUGGUGCCGUAACUUCGGGAGAAGGCACGCUGAUAUGUAGGUGAAGUCCCUCGCGGAUGGAGCUGAAAUCAGUCGAAGAUACCAGCUGGCUGCAACUGUUUAUUAAAAACACAGCACUGUGCAAACACGAAAGUGGACGUAUACGGUGUGACGCCUGCCCGGUGCCGGAAGGUUAAUUGAUGGGGUUAGCCGCAAGGCGAAGCUCUUGAUCGAAGCCCCGGUAAACGGCGGCCGUAACUAUAACGGUCCUAAGGUAGCGAAAUUCCUUGUCGGGUAAGUUCCGACCUGCACGAAUGGCGUAAUGAUGGCCAGGCUGUCUCCACCCGAGACUCAGUGAAAUUGAACUCGCUGUGAAGAUGCAGUGUACCCGCGGCAAGACGGAAAGACCCCGUGAACCUUUACUAUAGCUUGACACUGAACAUUGAGCCUUGAUGUGUAGGAUAGGUGGGAGGCUUAGAAGUGUGGACGCCAGUCUGCAUGGAGCCGACCUUGAAAUACCACCCUUUAAUGUUUGAUGUUCUAACGUUGACCCGUAAUCCGGGUUGCGGACAGUGUCUGGUGGGUAGUUUGACUGGGGCGGUCUCCUCCUAAAGAGUAACGGAGGAGCACGAAGGUUGGCUAAUCCUGGUCGGACAUCAGGAGGUUAGUGCAAUGGCAUAAGCCAGCUUGACUGCGAGCGUGACGGCGCGAGCAGGUGCGAAAGCAGGUCAUAGUGAUCCGGUGGUUCUGAAUGGAAGGGCCAUCGCUCAACGGAUAAAAGGUACUCCGGGGAUAACAGGCUGAUACCGCCCAAGAGUUCAUAUCGACGGCGGUGUUUGGCACCUCGAUGUCGGCUCAUCACAUCCUGGGGCUGAAGUAGGUCCCAAGGGUAUGGCUGUUCGCCAUUUAAAGUGGUACGCGAGCUGGGUUUAGAACGUCGUGAGACAGUUCGGUCCCUAUCUGCCGUGGGCGCUGGAGAACUGAGGGGGGCUGCUCCUAGUACGAGAGGACCGGAGUGGACGCAUCACUGGUGUUCGGGUUGUCAUGCCAAUGGCACUGCCCGGUAGCUAAAUGCGGAAGAGAUAAGUGCUGAAAGCAUCUAAGCACGAAACUUGCCCCGAGAUGAGUUCUCCCUGACUCCUUGAGAGUCCUGAAGGAACGUUGAAGACGACGACGUUGAUAGGCCGGGUGUGUAAGCGCAGCGAUGCGUUGAGCUAACCGGUACUAAUGAACCGUGAGGCUUAACCUU
rnacentral:rRNA from 1 species